rnacentral:rRNA from 1 species
AACGAACGCUGGCGGCAGGCCUCAAACAUGCAAGUCUAGGGGGUGUAGCAAUACAUCACCGGCGGACGGGUGCGUAACGCGUGGGAAUAUACCUAUCGGUUCGGAACAACUGAGGGAAACUUCAGCUAAUACCGAAUACGUCCUAACGGAGAAAGAUUUAUCGUCGAUUGAUUAGCCCGCGUUCGAUUAGCUAGUUGGUGGGGUAACGGCCCACCAAGGCGACGAUCGAUAGCUGUUCUGAGAGGAAGAUCAGCCACACUGGGACUGAGACACGGCCCAGACUCCUACGGGAGGCAGCAGUUGGGAAUCUUGGACAAUGGGGGAAACCCUGAUCCAGCCAUGCCGCGUGAGUGAUGAAGGCCUUCGGGUUGUUAAAACUACUUUCGCGCACGACGAUAAUGACGGUAGUGCGAGAAGAAGCUCCGGCUAACUUCGUGCCAGCAGCCGCGGUAAU